rnacentral:rRNA from 1 species
CAGUAGCCGCGGUAAUACGAAGGGGGCUAGCGUUGUUCGGAAUUACUGGGCGUAAAGCGCACGUAGGCGGAUUUUUAAGUCAGGGGUGAAAUCCCGAGGCUCAACCUCGGAACUGCCUUUGAUACUGGAGAUCUUGAGUUCGGAAGAGGUUGGUGGAACAGCUAGUGUAGAGGUGAAAUUCGUAGAUAUUAGCUAGAACACCAGUGGCGAAGGCGACUGACUGGACAAGUAUUGACGCUGAGGUGCGAAAGCGUGGGGAGCAAACAGGAUUAGAUACCCCCGUAGUCCCUGUCUCUUAUAC